rnacentral:tRNA from 1 species
AGUAAAGUGGCCGAGUUGAAGGUGGUAGAUUGUAAAUCUAUAAACGAAUUAUAAUUCCUUUAUUA